UUCCUGGUGUUCAUGGCGCGGUGGAACCACACUAACCCAUCUCGAACUCAGAGGUGAAACGCUGCAGCGGCGACGAUACUUUGGGGGUAGCCCCACGGGACAAUAGCUCGAUGCCAGG
rnacentral:rRNA from 1 species